rnacentral:rRNA from 1 species
AUUGAACGCUGGCGGCAUGCUUUACACAUGCAAGUCGAACGGUAGAGGGGGCAACCCCUUGAGAGUGGCGAACGGGUGAGUAAUGCAUCGGAACGUGCCCAGUCGUGGGGGAUAACGCAGCGAAAGCUGUGCUAAUACCUCAUACGAUCUCUGGAUGAAAGCGGGGGACCGAAAGGCCUCGCGCGAUUGGAGCGGCCGAUGUCAGAUUAGGUAGUUGGGGGGGUAAAGGCCUACCAAGCCAACGAUCUGUAGCUGGUCUGAGAGGACGACCAGCCACACUGGGACUGAGACACGGCCCAGACUCCUACGGGAGGCAGCAGUGGGGAAUUUUGGACAAUGGGCGCAAGCCUGAUCCAGCAAUGCCGCGUGCAGGAAGAAGGCCUUCGGGUUGUAAACUGCUUUUGUACGGAACGAAACGGUCUGGGUUAAUACCCUGGGCUAAUGACGGUACCGUAAGAAUAAGCACCGGCUAACUACGUGCCAGCAGCCGCCGUAA